GAUGAACGCUGGCGGCAUGCCUAAUACAUGCAAGUCGAACGAGAGGAAGGAAAGCUUGCUUUCCUGAAUCUAGUGGCGAACGGGUGAGUAACACGUAGGUAACCUGCCCAUGUGCCCGGGAUAACUUCUGGAAAUGGAUGCUAAAACCGGAUAGGUAGCAGACAAGCAUUUGACUGCUAUUAAAGUGGCCUUGGCCAUGAACAUGGAUGGACCUGCGGUGCAUUAGCUAGUUGGUGAGGUAACGGCCCACCAAGGCGACGAUGCAUAGCCGGCAUGAGAGGGCGGCCGGCCACAUUGGGACUGAGACACGGCCCAAACUCCUACGGGAGGCAGCAGUAGGGAAUUUUCGUCAAUGGGGGGAACCCUGAACGAGCAAUGCCGCGUGAGUGAGGAAGGUCUUCGGAUCGUAAAGCUCUGUUGUAAGAGAAAAACGGCACUCAUAGGGAAUGAUGAGUGAGUGAUGGUAUCUUACCAGAAAGUCACGGCUAACUACCUGCCGGCCGCCGCCGUAA
rnacentral:rRNA from 1 species